AACAAACAAUGACGAGAGGAGAUGGGACUAACUGUAGACAUGCAAAAGCAUCAAUAUUCAGCAAAAUAUCAAGGACAAAACUGGGAGGAGGGAUAAGAGGCAAGCAAGAAAAAAGAACAUCCCCAGGCCUAUUCUCCAUCUCACUUUGCAUGAGCACCUUGUUCAACCAUUUUGGAAAGUUCUGCAUCCUUGGACGUAGGACUGGCUAGAGCAUCACCAGUAUUAUUGCAAUGAAGAGGGGAUGCCACAUCUGGGGGAGGAUCAGAAGGCUUGCUUGGAGCAGAUGGAGUGGGCAUGGACAGAGGAAGGUUCAUCAUGUAGAAGGCACUGCCUAAGCGCCGGGACACCUUUGGAGAGACAAGCAAUGGUCCAAGUUUUAAUCCCAUUGUGUCCAAAAGAUGUUCUUCUGUGAGUAACGGUAAGGUUUCUCCAUCAAUCGCAUGAUCUUUAAAUAUCUUACCAAACAAAGCAAAGCAAAACAUGUUGUUUAAAACCAAAAACUCU